UCUUAUGUACAAGAAGAACAGGACACCUGUGUGGUUCUUUGUGAAAAUUGCUCCAAUUCGAAACGAACAGGAUAAAGUGGUUUUAUUUCUUUGCACUUUCAGUGACAUAACAGCUUUCAAACAGCCAAUUGAGGAUGAUUCAUGUAAAGGCUGGGGGAAGUUUGCUCGGCUGACAAGAGCACUGACAAGCAGCAGGGGUGUCCUGCAGCAGCUGGCUCCAAGCGUGCAAAAAGGCGAGAAUGUCCACAAGCACUCCCGCCUGGCAGAGAUGGAGUCUUGGUCUGUCACCCAGGCUGGAGCGCAGUGGCGUGAUCUUGGCUCAAUGCAACCUCUGCCUCCUAGGUUCAAGGGAUUCCCCUGCCUCAGCCUCCUGAGUAGCCAGAACUACAGGCAUGCGCCACUACACCAGGCUAAUUUUUGUAUUUUUAGUAGAGAAGGGUUUUCAUUAUGUUGGCCAGGGUGGUCUUGAACUCCUGACUUCAAGUGAUCUGCUCACCUUGGCCUCUCAAAGUGCUAGGGUUACAGGUGUGAGCCACUGCACUGGGUGGAACCAUCUCUUCUUUAUCGCCCCCUUCCUCUUUAUCUCUCCCUCCACUACCAUCUCCUCUUUAGC
rnacentral:sRNA from 1 species